GAUGAAGAACGUAGCGAAAUGCGAUAAGUAAUGUGAAUUGCAGAAUUCAGUGAAUCAUCGAAUCUUUGAACGCACAUUGCGCCCGCCAGUAUUCUGGCGGGCAUGCCUGUUCGAGCGUCAUUACAACCCUCAGGCCCCCGGGCCUGGCGUUGGGGAUCGGCGGAGCCCCCCGUGGGCACACGCCGUCCCCCAAAUGCAGUGGCGGUCCCGCCGCAGCUUCCAUCGCGUAGUAGCUAACACCUCGCGACUGGAGAGCGGCGCGGCCACGCCGUAAAACACCCAACUCUUCUGAAGUUGACCUCGAAUCAGGUAGGAAUACCCGCUGAACUUAAGCAUACAAUAAGCGGAGGA
rnacentral:misc_RNA from 1 species